rnacentral:rRNA from 1 species
GCAAGUCGAGCGAUCCCUUCGGGGAUAGCGGCGGACGGGUGAGUAACGCGUGGGAACAUACCCAGAGGUACGGAACAACAGUUAGAAAUGACUGCUAAUACCGUAUACGCCCUACGGGGGAAAGAAUUUCGCCGUCGGAUUGGCCCGCGUUGGAUUAGAUAGUUGGUAGGGUAACGGCCUACCAAGUCGAUGAUCCAUAGCUGGUUUGAGAGGAUGAUC